GGCUGGUCAGAAUGCAAUGGUGUUUGUAACUAAUCGAUCACAACCAGUUACAGAUUCCUUUGUUCCUUCUUCACUUCCACAGCUUCACUUCACUAGCUUUAA
ensembl:misc_RNA Y_RNA Y RNA